rnacentral:rRNA from 1 species
GUAGGUGGCAAGCGUUGUCCGGAAUUAUUGGGCGUAAAGCGCGCGCAGGCGGUUCUUUAAGUCUGAUGUGAAAGCCCACGGCUCAACCGUGGAGGGUCAUUGGAAACUGGAGAACUUGAGUACAGAAGAGGAAAGCGGAAUUCCACGUGUAGCGGUGAAAUGCGUAGAGAUGUGGAGGAACACCAGUGGCGAAGGCGGCUUUCUGGUCUGUAACUGACGCUGAGGCGCGAAAGCGUGGGGAGCAAACAGGGAUUAGAUACCCUGGUAGUCCACGCCGUAAACGAUGAGCGCUAAGUGUUAGGGGGUUUCCGCCCCCUUAGUGCUGCAGCUAACGCAUUAAGCACUCCGCCUGGGGAGUACGGCCGCAAGGUUG